rnacentral:rRNA from 1 species
AGAGUUUGAUCCUGGCUCAGAACGAACGCUGGCGGCGUGGCUAAAACAUGCAAGUCGAACGAGAAAUCCGGAGCAAUCUGGAGAGUAAAGUGGCGGAAGGGAGUAAUGUAUGGGUAACGUACCUUGAGCACAGGGAUAGCCGCGGGAAACUGCGGGUAAGACCUGAUGAGACCACGGUUUCAUAUGGAACUGAGGCCAAAGGACGGGGAUCCGCAAGGACCUGUCGGCUCUCGAGCGGCCCAUAUCCUAUCAGCUUGUUGGUGAGGUAACGGCCCACCAAGGCACCGACGGGUACCGGGACUGAGAGGUUGGCCCGGCACAUUGGCACUGAGACACUGGCCAGACUCCUACGGGAGGCUGCAGUAACGAAUAUUCCGCAAUGGGCGCAAGCCUGACGGAGCGACGCCGCGUGUGGGAAGAAUGUCUUCGGACUGUAAACCACUGUCAGGGGCUGCCAAGCGAACGGGCCUAAUACGCUCGUGAGUUGAGGAGCCCCAGAGGAAGCCACGGCUAACUUCGUGCCAGCAGCCGCGGUAAUACGAAGGUGGCAAGCGUUGUUCGGAAUCACUGGGCUUAAAGGGCGCGUAGGCGGCUCGACAAGUGUCUUGUGAAAUCCCUCGGCUUAACCGAGGAAUGGCUAGGCAAACUGUCGAGCUUGAGGCAGGUAGAGGCGAGUGGAACUCUUGGUGGAGCGGUGGAAUGCGUAGAUAUCAAGAGGAACGCCGGUGGUGAAGACGACUCGCUGGGCCUGUCCUGACGCUGAGGCGCGAAAGCCAGGGGAGCAAACGGGAUUAGAUACCCCGGUAGUCCUGGCCCUAAACCAUGUCAACUAGGUCGGAGGCACUCUGACGUGUUUCUGGCCGAAAUGAAAACGUUAAGUUGACCGCCUGGGGAGUACGGUCGCAAGGCUAAAACUCAAAGGAAUUGACGGGGGCUCACACAAGCGGUGGAGUAUGUUGCUUAAUUCGAUACCACGCGAAGAACCUUAUCCUGGGCUUGACAUGUAUGGAUGCCUACCGUGAAAGCGGUUCGGCUACCCUUCGGGGUGAAACAUUCACAGGUGCUGCAUGGCUGUCGUCAGCUCGUGUCGUGAGAUGUCGGGUUAAGUCCCAUAACGAGCGAAACCCUUGUCGCUAGUUGCCAGCGGGUAAAGCCGGGAACUCUAGCGAGACUGCCGGUGUCAAACCGGAGGAAGGCGGGGAUGACGUCAAGUCCUCAUGGCCUUUAUGCCCAGGGCUGCAAACGUACUACAAUGGCGCGUACAAACCGAUGCUAAACCGCAAGGUCAUGCAGACCGGAGAAAAGGCGCCCCAGUUCAGAUUGGGGGCUGCAACCCGCCCCCAUGAAGUUGGAAUCGCUAGUAAUCGCGGAUCAGCUAUGCCGCGGUGAAUGUGUUCCUGAGCCUUGUACACACC